AGCUGAGGGUGGCAAACAAAGGAUCACACACUUAAAACAUCUUAAAAACAUCUUUUUUAAAAAAAAAAUUUAAAGCAUCUUAAAAAGCAAUUCCAAAAACUGGCACAGCUGUUGCACCGGUUGAAGUUGGCAGAAGGGCUCCUCGCCGCUGAGGCGACUUGGGCCUCCAGUGACGGAGAUGGAUUCAGGAGGACCCCCGAGCUACAUACCUGCUCCUCCAGAGGGAAUGCAACCCCCGCCAGAGCAGUUCUACUCAUGCAGCUGAAUCCAUGCCAACAUACUCAGAAGUAAGCCUUGUCAAGAGCAAUGAUAGAUGUGCACAGGAGUACAGCCUUAGAAGCUUGGUCCCAUGCACCUUUACUCCAAAAGAAGCCUGUGUUCAUGUGGCAUUUACUUGCAAGUAAGAAUCACGGUUUUCAAACUGGAAAUCUGUCUUGGUUUUCUCCUGUCA